GAUGAAGAACGUAGCGAAAUGCGAUAAGUAAUGUGAAUUGCAGAAUUCAGUGAAUCAUCGAAUCUUUGAACGCACAUUGCGCCCGCCAGUAUUCUGGCGGGCAUGCCUGUCCGAGCGUCAUUUCAACCCUCGAACCCCUCCGGGGGGUCGGCGUUGGGGAUCGGCCCUCCCUUAGCGGGUGGCCGUCUCCGAAAUACAGUGGCGGUCUCGCCGCAGCCUCUCCUGCGCAGUAGUUUGCACACUCGCAUCGGGAGCGCGGCGCGUCCACAGCCGUUAAACCCCCAACUUCUGAACGUUUGACCUCGGAUCAGGUAGGAAUACCCGCUGAACUUAAGCAUAUCAAUAAGCGGAGGA
rnacentral:misc_RNA from 1 species